rnacentral:rRNA from 1 species
AUUGAACGCUGGCGGCAUGCCUUACACAUGCAAGUCGAACGGUAACGGGCCUUCGGGUGCCGACGAGUGGCGAACGGGUGAGUAAUACAUCGGAACGUGCCCGAUCUUGGGGGAUAACGAGGCGAAAGCUUUUCUAAUACCGCAUACGAUCUACGGAUGAAAGCCGGGGACCGCAAGGCCUUGCGCGGACGGAGCGGCCGAUGGCAGAUUAGGUAGUUGGUGGGAUAAAAGCUUACCAAGCCGACGAUCUGUAGCUGGUCUGAGAGGAUGAUCAGCCACACUGGGACUGAGACACGGCCCAGACUCCUACGGGAGGCAGCAGUGAGGAAUUUUGGACAAUGGGCGCAAGCCUGAUCCAGCCAUGCCGCGUGCAGGAUGAAGGCCUUCGGGUUGUAAACUGCUUUUGUACGGAACGAAAAGCCUUCUUUUAAUACAGGAGGGUCAUGACGGUACCGUAAGAAUAAGCACCGGCUAACUACGUG